UAGGGAAUCUUCGGCAAUGGGGGGAACCCUGACCGAGCAACGCCGCGUGAGUGAAGAAGGUUUUCGGAUCGUAAAGCUCUGUUGUUAAGGAAGAACGAGUGUGAGAAUGGAAAGUUCAUACUGUGACGGUACUUAACCAGAAAGGCACGGCUAACUACGUGCCAGCAGCCGCGGUAAUACGUAGGUCCCGAGCGUUGUCCGGAUUUAUUGGGCGUAAAGCGAGCGCAGGCGGUUAGAUAAGUCUGAAGUUAAAGGCAGUGGCUCAACCAUUGUAGGCUUUGGAAACUGUUUAACUUGAGUGCAGAAGGGGAGAGUGGAAUUCCAUGUGUAGCGGUGAAAUGCGUAGAUAUAUGGAGGAACACCGGUGGCGAAAGCGGCUCUCUGGUCUGUAACUGACGCUGAGGCUCGAAAGCGUGGGGAGCGAACAGG
rnacentral:rRNA from 1 species